rnacentral:tRNA from 1 species
AGCGGGGUGGGGUAGCCAGGAUAUCCCGACGGGCCCAUAACCCGUAGAUCGGUGGUUCGAAUCCACCCCCCGCUA